rnacentral:rRNA from 1 species
UGGGGAAUAUUGGACAAUGGGCGCAAGCCUGAUCCAGCCAUGCCGCGUGAGUGAUGAAGGCCCUAGGGUUGUAAAGCUCUUUCACCGGUGAAGAUAAUGACGGUAACCGGAGAAGAAGCCCCGGCUAACUUCGUGCCAGCAGCCGCGGUAAUACGAAGGGGGCUAGCGUUGUUCGGAUUUACUGGGCGUAAAGCGCACGUAGGCGGACUUUUAAGUCAGGGGUGAAAUCCCGGGGCUCAACCCCGGAACUGCCUUUGAUACUGGAAGUCUUGAGUAUGGUAGAGGUGAGUGGAAUUCCGAGUGUAGAGGUGAAAUUCGUAGAUAUUCGGAGGAACACCAGUGGCGAAGGCGGCUCACUGGGCCAUUACUGACGCUGAGGUGCGAAAGCGUGGGGGGCAAACAGG